rnacentral:rRNA from 1 species
UACGGGGGGGGCAAGCGUUGUUCGGAAUUACUGGGCGUAAAGGGCUCGUAGGCGGCCAACUAAGUCGGAUGUGAAAUCCCCAGGCUUAACCUGGGAACUGCAUCCGAUACUGGAUGGCUUGAAUCCGGGAGAGGGAUGCAGAAUUCCAGGUGUAGCGGUGAAAUGCGUAGAUAUCUGGAGGAAUACCGGUGGCGAAGACGGCAUCCUGGACCGGCAUUGACGCUGAGGAGCGAAAGCUAGGGGAGCAAACGGG